rnacentral:rRNA from 1 species
CUGGCUCAGAUGAACGCUGGCGGCAUGCCUUACACAUGCAAGUCGAACGGUAACAGGUCUUCGGAUGCUGACGAGUGGCGAACGGGUGAGUAAUACAUCGGAACGUGCCCGAUCGUGGGGGAUAACGAGGCGAAAGCUUUGCUAAUACCGCAUACGAUCUACGGAUGAAAGCGGGGGAUCUUCGGACCUCGCGCGGACGGAGCGGCCGAUGGCAGAUUAGGUAGUUGGUGGGAUAAAAGCUUACCAAGCCGACGAUCUGUAGCUGGUCUGAGAGGAUGAUCAGCCACACUGGGACUGAGACACGGCCAGACUCCUACGGGAGGCAGCAGUGGGGAAUUUUGGGCAAUGGGCGAAAGCCUGAUCCAGCCAUGCCGCGUGCAGGAUGAAGGCCUUCGGGUUGUAAACUGCUUUUGUACGGAACGAAAAGCCUCUUUCUAAUAAAGAGGGGUCAUGACGGUACCGUAAGAAUAAGCACCGGCUAACUACGUGCCAGCCGCGGC